rnacentral:rRNA from 1 species
AGGCUUAACACAUGCAAGUCGAGCGCCUCGCAAGAGGAGCGGCAGACGGGUGAGUAACGCGUGGGAAUCUACCCAUCUCUACGGAACAACUCCGGGAAACUGGAGCUAAUACCGUAUACGUCCUUCGGGAGAAAGAUUUAUCGGAGAUGGAUGAGCCCGCGUUGGAUUAGCUAGUUGGUGGGGUAAUGGCCUACCAAGGCGACGAUCCAUAGCUGGUCUGAGAGGAUGAUCAGCCACAUUGGGACUGAGACACGGCCCAA